rnacentral:rRNA from 1 species
AGCAGCCGCGGUAAUUCCAGCUCCAAUAGCGUAUAUUAAAGUUGUUGCAGUUAAAAAGCUCGUAGUUGAACUUCGGGAUUUGCCCAUUGGUCAGGCUUAACUGUCUGCACUGGUGUGACGAGUUCCUACCUUCUGAGGAAUCUCCAUGUCAUUCAGUUGGUGUGGGGGGAAAUCAGGACUGUUACUUUAGAAAAAAUUAGAGUGUUUAAAGCAGGCAUCCGUCUGAAUACAUUAGCAUGGAAUAAUAAAAUAGGACGGUUUGGUUCUAUUUUGUUGGUUUCUAGGAUCACCGUAAUGAUUAAUAGGGAUAGUUGGGGGCAUUAGUAUUCAAUUGUCAGAGGUGAAAUUCUUGGAUUUAUUGAAGACUAACUACUGCGAGAGCAUUUGCCAAGACGUUUUCA